CAGAAGAAUGAGGCGAAGCCUUGAGGUUUGGAAAAUGGGCACUGUCAAUUACUUGGAGGCACUGAAGCUGCAAGAGAAGCUAGCAUCUGAUAGAAAAGCCCUUAAAAUUACUGAUACCUUAUUAUCUCUUCAACAUCCACCUACUUAUACUCUUGGCAAAAGGCAAACAGUUCACAAUCUACUCAUACCUGAUUCGGAGCUCAAAGCCAUGGGGGCUGAACUUCUCUUAAAAUUACUGACACCCUAUUAUCUCUUCAACAUCCACCUACUCAUACUCUUGGCAAAAGGCAAACAGUUCACAAUCUACUCAUACCUGAUUCGGAGCUCAAAGCCAUGGGGGCUGAACUUCACGAUACACAAAGAGGAGGUGACAUUACUUUUCAUGGUCCUCACCAGGCGAUCUUGUAUCCGAUUGUUUCACUGAGAGAUAUUGGUUUGGGCGCUCGAAAAUAUGUGGA
rnacentral:lncRNA from 1 species